AUGUUCGGGUAAUCGCUGUACGACUUUUGUCUGCAGAGGAAAGUCCAUGCUCGCACAAGCUGAGAUGCUUGUAGUGUUUGUGCCUGACGAAAUCAUAAGUCAGGGUAGUCUGAAAAGGCUAACGGCAGGGAAAAUACCUACGUUCUCCUUGAAUAGGGUAUGAUUACCUUUAAAGUGCCACAGUGACGAUUUCAACUGGAAACAGUGGAAGUGGAACGGGGUAAACCCCACAAGCGAGCAACCCAAAUAAUGGUAGGGGCACUCUCCCAGAGGGAAUUCAACCAAGGGAGGGACAAGCACAGGAUGCUUGUAGAUAGAUGAUUACUACCGGAGUACGAGGCCUUGACAGCCGUUGGAGUACGAAGGAACAAAACAUGGCUUACAGAA
rnacentral:RNase_P_RNA from 1 species